rnacentral:rRNA from 1 species
UACGUAGGGUGCGAGCGUUAAUCGGAAUUACUGGGCGUAAAGCGUGCGCAGGCGGUUCGUUAAGUCAGAUGUGAAAGCCCCGGGCUCAACCUGGGAACUGCAUUUGAAACUGGCGGGCUUGAGUGUGGCAGAGGGGGGUGGAAUUCCGCGUGUAGCAGUAAAAUGCGUAGAGAUGCGGAGGAACACCGAUGGCGAAGGCAGCCCCCUGGGCCAACACUGACGCUCAGGCACGAAAGCGUGGGGAGCAAACAGG